rnacentral:lncRNA from 1 species
GCGGCUUCGUCCGAGACACUGUUGUAAUUCGAAUUUCUCCAUGACGCUGUGAGGGUGGUUGGGAGGAAAUCACACGCGACGUCAUUGCCACGAAUCUAUCUAGUUCUUCGAUUGAGCCCUAUCUUACAAUACGUCUCCUCUUCUUCUGCCUCUAAUGCACCCUGAUCAAUCGCUUCUUUUGUCUCUAAUGCACCCUGAUCAAUCACUUUAUCAAGAUAGAUACUGCAGCCCUCGAACCAUGAGAUCUAUCGAGCAAUUUCUGCAACAAAUUAAGUAGAGUUUACCCAGAAUCCCAACCCGUAUGUUUCUCCCCUCUCCUGUAAAUCUCCACAACAAUAAGUAUAACAGUCAAUAUAUAUGGACACAGCUGCAUGAGGGCAAAUCAAGGAAAAACAGAAAAACACAUCAAUCAGGUUGCUUGUUCAAUAUACACACCUUCACAAACAUUAUCUUCUCCUUUUCAUAUUUUCUUUCUAGCACAUAAUAAGCACCAUCAUCCAUAUUUCAAAGUCCUGAUUGUUAAUUUUGCAUGUGUGUGUGGCAAUCUGGAUUCAGCAAAAGCUCUGAAUCCUUUCCUGGGAAUCUUAGUGUUAUCAUAGAUUCUUCCCUGCUAAAGAAUACUUGUUGGAAAUAAGAAACACAAGAGGUUUUAUAUGCUAAUAAUAAUAUGCUACAGAAAUACAAAAACCAGAAAUGAGAUGACCAAAAAAAAUGAGCUUGUAGUAUAAAUACCAACUGCAACUACCAACUACAAACGCCUUGUCCCAGCUUAUCAGGAAAUCAUCUUCUCAAGCGUAUAGUACAAAAACCAAAUACUUUGUAGAAGCAUAUAUAUGCACCCCCCCCCCUAUAUUUUAAUAUAAAUGCACCGUAAUUUUACGCCCCGCAAAUUUUAUUUUAUUUAAUACGUAAAAUAAUGAUGGUAAGAAAAUAUAUAAUGGCCAUAAAAAUAUUUUAUGUUACGUAAAAUCACAAACGUAAAAACAUAGUGUAUAAUAUGCACAAAAUGCUAUUUUCCUGGUCUUAUGACCUAUAUAUUUGUUUUCUUAUGCCAAAUUUUACGCAGUGAAUCAAUAUGAAUAUAACUAUUUAUAUUGCAAAUAUAAUUUAUUUAUAGAAGGAUCGUAAAAUUACCUUGGAUAAAGAAUAACUUAAGAGAGAGAGAAAGGCUCAAUGGCAAUGGGCAUAUGUGCAGUAGAGCCGUAACCUUAAAUAUUGUUGCCAUGCUUAUCUGCACUAAAAAGGAUAAAGAGUGACCCUGACCCAUGUGCAUUGAGGGGUACACCAAAGUUAGUCAUAUGCCUAAGCUUGGUUUGUGGAAAAGGAAAAAAACAAUUAUUUAUUGUAGGAACGGGGGAGAGAGGAGUACCUCCAGCACAAGUGUUUUGUGCGUGGCGGCUGUCUCAGGAACGGGAGAUGGCUGGGAGCCUCCUUUUAGGUUAGUCCCACUACAUGGGCCUGGGCCCUAAGAGAUAACUUGUAUGGGCUGGGCCAUACCAGUUCAACACUUCCCCUCAAGAUGGGUGGUAGAUAUCUAUCAUUCCCAUCUUGUCACAUGCCAAGUUACAAUCCUUUCUUCCCAGACCCUUUGUCAAACAAUCUGCAAACUGCUGCCCAGAACUGACAUGAGUAAGGCUGAUGACCCCGGCAUCAAGCUUCUCCUUAAUGAAGAACCGAUCAAUUUCCACAUGCUUUGUCCUAUCAUGUUGAACUGGGUUAUUAGCGAUGGCUAUAGCUGACUGAUUGUCACACCACACCUUCAAGGGCCCCUUCCUCAGAAGUUUCAACUCGCUCAGUAGGUACUUCACCCAGAGCAUCUCACACAACCCUUGAGAUAAUGCUCUAUACUCAGCUUCUGCUGUUGAUCUAGACACAACCGGCUGUUUCUUGCUUCUCCAUGAUACCAAAUUUCCUCCCACAAACACGCAGUAACCAGAAGUUGAUCUUCUAUCAUCUUGACAACUGGCCCAGUCAGAGUCACUAUAGCCAUCCACCUCAAGAUGUCCACUCUUCCCAAACCACAACCCUUUACCCGGAGUCCCCUUCAAGUAUCUCAGGAUUCUGUGCACAAUAUCAAGAUGCCCACUCCUUGGUUCAUGCAUGUAUCUGCUCACCACCCCCGUAGCAUACGUAAUGUCAGGCCUGGUAUGACACAAGUACAACAACCUUCCAACCAGUUUCUGAUACUCUUCCUUAUUCACUAGCUCUCCUGAUUGUGCUGUCACUUGGUGAUUUUUUUCAAUCGGAGUAGGGGCAGUACGACAUCCCAUCAUGCCCACGUCACUCAAGAGAUCCAAGGUGUAUUUUCGUUGGCACAAAGAGAUUCCCUUCUCUGUCCGAGCCACUUCAAUGCCAAGAAAGUAUUUUAGGUUACCCAAAUCCUUUACCUCAAACUCCUUGCUCAAACAACCCUUCAAUCUCUCUAUUUCCUCCUCAUCAUCUCCAUCUCCAGUGAUGAUAAUGUCAUCCACAUAAACAGCAAGAAUGGUGAUCUUCCGAUCAGAGUGCUUGUAGAACAUCGUGUGGUCACCGUUACACUGACCAUACCCCAUACCACGGACAGCACGUCUGAACCUAUCAAACCAGGCCCUUGGUGAUUGCUUCAGUCCAUACAAGGAUUUCUUCAGCCUGCAUACCUUCCCCGUAGUCUCUGAAGUACCAAAACCUGGUGGUAUUUCCAUGUAGACUUCUUCUUGCAACUCACCAUGCAAGAGGGCAUUUUUGACAUCUAAUUGAUGCAACUUCCACCCAAAGUUUGCAGCACAGGAGACCAAUAUCCUUACUGUGUUCAUCUUUGCCACGGGAGCAAACGUCUCAUCAUAGUCAAUUCCAUAAGUUUGACUAUAUCCUCUGGCGACCAAUCUGGCCUUAUACCGUUCCACCUUCCCUUCAGGAUUCUGCUUCACUACAUAGAUCCACUUACAACUCACUGCUUUCUUUUCUGUCGGCAAUGUGGUUAGCACCCAUGUCUUGUUUUUCCUUAGUGCUUCCAACUCUUCUAUCAUCGCUUCACGCCACCUCGGAUCUUGCUUUGCAGCCUUCCAAUCCUUUGGAAUUGACACAGUUUGAAGGGAGGCAACAAACGCCUUAUAUGUGGGUGACAAAGCCUUAUAAGACACAAAAUUGCCAAUAUCAAGAUCAUCACAAGCAUCAUCCUUCGGUAGAGCCUUCCUUGCUACUUCACCCUUUCUUGCCGCUUCACGUGUAGCCUUUCGCAAUGCAAUGGGCAGCUCCACUGUGUCAGAUGAGCUCGUCUCACUAUCUUGCUGCUCCCCCUGCACUCUUGCCUCACUGUCUUGCUGCUCCCCUUGCACGUGUGGUUGCCGUCGAGAGUACACUAGGGUGUUCGUCUGCCAUCGAUCCCGAACAGGAACCCGAAGAGCACCAAUCUUAAGUGUAUCGACGGUUGGCUCGACAGGAACCUGCACAUCAUCAUCAGUGAGAGUACUAACCGGAAUUGUUCCCACUGUUGGUUGGACCUGAACUUGCACAUCAUUAGCAGUGUUAUUGCCCACAGAAUCACCCUGAGUAUGAGACACAUCCUUCUCCCCCUCUUGACCAUCGUGCACAUGAUGUAGGUGGUCAAGCUCUGCAAAUAGCAGACUGAGAUCAGUCGGCGUACCAUAGAAUGGCUCGGACUGCCUGAAGAUAACAUCCAUACUCACGAACCUGCGUUUUUCAGAGGGAGACCAACAUUUAUACCCCUGCUGACUAGAAGAGUAUCCCAGGAAGACACACUUCACUGCCCGAGGAUCAAGCUUUCCAACAUAUGGUCGGUGAUCACGAACAAAGCAAGUACUGCCAAACAACUUUGGGGAAACAACAAACUUAUUAUCUCCAAUGAGCAACUCAGACGGAGAUUUCAUACCUAAUAUCCUGGAAGGUGUCCGGUUGAUCAGGUACGUGGCUGUCAUAACUGCUUCAUCCCAUAAGAACUUAGGCACAUUCAUGGUAAACAUUAAUGACCGAGCAACCUCAAGAAUAUGACGAUUCUUCCUUUCGGCCACUCCAUUCUAAGGUGGGGUGUCCGGACAUGAAGUUUGAUGAAGAAUCCCUUGGUUAGCCAUGAAAUCCCCAAAAAUAUUGUUCACAUACUCUGUACCAUUGUCAGUCCUGAGCACGUUGACCUGCACCUGAAACUGGUUCUUUACAAGAGCAUGGAAGUUCUGAAAACAGCUAAACACCUCAUCCUUGUGACGCAUCAAGUAAAUCCAAGUCAUACGAGAAUAGCAGUCAAUAAAGGUAACAAGAUACUUCUUUCCAUUCAUUGACACUACUGGGCUAGUCCAUACAUCCGAAUGAAUGAGCAUAAAAGAAGAUAUGCUCCUAAGCCCCUUACUCACAUAUGAGGCUCGUGUGUGUUUUGCAUAUUCGCAAGCAUCACAUGUCAACUUGCCAUUGCCUAUUCCACACAUAACAUCCGGAAAGAUUCUACUCAUCUUAUCAAAAGAUACAUGACCCAUUCUACAAUGAUGGAUCAUCGUCUGCUUCUCCUUGUCCUCCAUGGUCGCAGCACACACCAAGUUCGGUUGCACCUCCUGGUCCAUGUACCAGAGCCCCCUACGCCUGGUGCCAGUCUCAACCGUCUGGCUCGUCUAUCCCUCCUGAAUCAAGCAACCGAACUUGUCAAGGAUCACACGACAGUCUAUUUGAUCAAUGAGAGCACUGAAAGAGACCAAAUUGACAGGAAAAGUUGGCACAUGCAAAACUGACGAUAAUGAGAUGGUUGAAGUGCAUGUGACUGUGCCAACCCCUACGACAGGCUGAUUAAUACCAUCGGCAGUUUGUACAGUGCCCUUGUGAGUAGGAGCAUGCUUAUGGUAAGACUCAAACACACACGAAUUACCCGCAACAUGCUUAGAUGCUCCAAAGUCUAAGACCCACUCUAAAGCACUCUCAUUAGGAGGAAGACAUGCCUUCAUCGAAUUACCUUCAUCAGUGGAGGCCCAGUGAGCAAAGUCUCCAUAGGCCGCCUCAUCAACUCCCUUGCCCUGUGACGUCCCAGUGUCCUCUUCAACUACCAUAUGCGCCCUGCCCCCUAAGUUUCCUGAGUAGCCACCUCUGCCCCUAGAAAGUUGACCCCCUGAGUUCCAUGGGUAUCCACCUCUGCCUCGAGCAUACCUUCCUCUGCCAGUGCCCCCUCUGUUGUAUCCCCUGCCUCUACCACGAGUUGGACAUUCCCUCUUCCAAUGACCUACCUCCCCACAAAUAUGACAUUUGUUGGGAUCUCCCCACUCCAUGCGCUCAGUGACUGCAAAUGUCGAAGCUGGCACAAACUUCACGUUUGCAUGCGCAAGAGAUAGCCUCACCUCCUCUUGAGACAUUGCUGCAAUAGUCUCCUCAAUAGUUGGCAGGAGAGGUUGGUGCAACAGGGAAGCCCCCCUGCCAUGAAAGCAACCUCUGAGGCCUUCCAACAGUUUCAGCACGCGCCUGCGUGCAAUCCACUUGCGCCCUGACUCGAUGCACGCCGCAUCAUAGAGUUCCAGAGGAUCACAGUUAUCCUGCUCUGCCCACAAAGCCUGCAGCUCUGCUACAUAUGUCAUCACUGACAUGUCAUCGCCUUGGCGCAGCCGACUGAUCUUCCCCUCAAUCUGAGCAAUUAGCAUGAAAUUACCCUUGCCUGAGUAUUGGGUGGAUAGAGUCUUCCAUAUCUCGGCGGACGUGGAUAGUCCCUCCACAGAGCGACCAAUGGAGGGCACCACUGAGUUCAACAACCAGCCAACAAGCACAGAGUUUAUGACCUUCCACCGCUUUCCCUCCGCGGUAGUCUUGUCUCCGGGUUCAUCAACCGCACCCAAUAAGUGCCCAUCAAGUUCCUUCUGUUCCACAGCCAGCAAUGCCCUUCUGGACCAGCUCAAAUAAUUUGUGGCCCCCUCUAGCUUCAUGUCCAGGGGUGACAUUUCGAGCUUCUGAGCCACUUCCUGUCGAGGAACGAUGGCCCCAGAGUUGGAGUUGGACUCCGUGAGGAUCUUAGCGAGCUUCUCGAAAGCCUCAGCAAGCGCAUUUGGUUCAGCCAUCUCCGAUCCGGUAAACAGCAGCAGCAGCCCUCAGCAGCACAGCCCUACAGCUGCACGGUUGGUCCCUUUACACCCCCUGGCUAGCAGCAGCACCCAGCAACUCAGCAGCUCCAAGUGCAAGCAGCAACCACAGCCUCUUCCUCCAGCAGCAGUUCUCUCCCUUCUUCCUCUGCAAACAGCAGCAGUUCUCUUCCUCCUUCCUCUGCAAACAACAGCAGUUCUCUUCCUCCUUCCUCUGCAAACAGCAGCAGUUUCAGAGGAUCUUGGCCUCCAACAGCAGCCAACCCCCGCAGCAGUUCUCCAGCUCCCGGUCCCUGCAGACACACGCACACACACCAGCACAACAAGGAGCUGCCCUUCUCCACUACCCUUCUCCUCUUCUCCUCCCGCAGCACCACAGCCCGUUGGAGACCAAGCCGCUCCUCAGCUUCCUCCUCCUGCCGCGCAACACAGCAGCUCCACCUCUCCUUCUUCCUCUGCCGUGCAGCACAGCCUCCACCUCUCCUUCCUCUCCAACGAGCCGCACCUCCUGCGCAGCCACGCCACGCCUCCCAGAUCCGCCGCUGCCUCGCCGGACGCCGCCCAGAUCCAACGCCACCUCGCCGGACGUCGCCGUCGUCUUCUCAGGCCCCGCCGUCGCUGGCUCUGAUACCAUGUAGGAACGGGGGGAGAGAGGAGUACGGGAGGGAGAGAGGAGUACCUCCAGCACAAGUGUUUUGUGUGUGGCGGCUGUCUCAGGAACGGGAGAUGGCUAGGAGCCUCCUUUUAGGUUAGUCCCACUACAUGGGCCUGGGCCCUAAGAGAUAACUUGUAUGGGCUGGGCCAUACCGGUUCAACAUUUAUGUGCCUAACACACCAGCAAAUCAAAUGCAGCCUCCACUACAUGUCAAUAGUUCCAUGAAAAAAACAAAAAAAACUAAUACGAUAUUUAAUUGUAAGCAUACAACAAAUAGUACCACUCUAAAUCUGGUGUCGCCAUUCCUCAAAACAGAAAUUUUCAACCUUUCUUUUUUUUUAAAUUACAAUAAAGAGUAUCAAUGUUUAAGUUUCUAAGAAAAAAAGGAGAAGAAAAGUUUAGAACCAUGGGUUCAAUAUGAGAUUAGAACUACAGCCACCAUGCGAGUAGCCGAGGAUAGGGAAAUGUUGACAAUAUUAGAGCAUGUUUACGUCAGGAUAAAAUGUUGUCAAAAUUAUUCAUCUAGUUCAAUUAAGUUCUAUGAUGUAUAAAGUAUGUACUUGGCAAGAAAAAUACAAGGGGUUACCUGGAUAUAUGAUGCUGCAGUACACAUAUAUUUAUCUAACUAAAAUUAAGCCCACCACUUCCCGCUCUCAUAUUACUUCAGAAUCAUCAGUAUGAGAAAACAUUGAUACCCAUUACUUUAUACUGAUAAACUCCAUGCUCCGAGACAAGGUUGCACACGUCAUCGCCGACAAUUCCCUUCUCUUCUCGAAUCAACAUAUAACCAUGUUUUUAUCUUACAAGAGAAGGGAAUCCUCGCAAUCUGCUAGAUACAACAAGGUACUUUUGUAUGACGUGCCUGAGCCAUCAAUUUGCCGGUCCUUUUCUUCCUGAAACCAACAGAGACAACACCGACUGAUUUUCCAGCACGCAAUAGCUUCCCCUCAACUUCUAUUUCUUCCUGUAAAAAUAAAAGAAAUAGUUUACGGCAUGUCAAAUAACUAUUAAAAUAACAUAAGAGUGAAAAGACAAAGGUAUGUACAAAAUUAAUCAAGCCUUAUGAUGCUAUUCUAGCAAGAAACUGGCCAAAUCUGCCCUUUGGGGGGUAGGGGUGGGGGCAAAAAUUAUGAGAAAAGAUAACGCCCAUAUGUGUGGGUGUUUGCAAACCGUCCACACGCAUGAAUCUGCGUCUGUUUGUGCUUUGCAUUAAUCUUGGUAUUUUUUGAUAGUUUUUCUGUACCACGUAGGACUGAACUGGUGUGUCGGUAUUUAACCACUUCGCCCACACGGCCGUUUCUUUCUCAGCAGGAAUCUUUUUUGGUUUUCGGUUUAAAAAUGUUUUAUCAUGACAACUUCAGUGUAACAUCAUGACAACUGUUGAAGCACCCAUUUUUUUAAAUGUAACAUCAUGGCAACUGUUGUAACAUCAUGAAAUUUUUUUAAAUGUAGAAGAAAAAAUAGGUGAAACAUAUCAUGGCAACUUCAGUGUAAACACCAUGGCAUGGCAACUACAGUGUAACAUCAUGGCAACUGUUGUCCAAAAAAAUAAUUUAUCGAAAUAUAUUGAUAUGAGAUCUAGUUUCGAAGAUCUCGUCGCGAUGGAUUUAAUGAUAAAAACGGAUCUUCAAUCGGAUUUUUCAUUUACAAGAUAAAACAUUUUAAAAACUCAAAAUCCAAAAAGAUACCCACAUGCAUACAUGUGGUUUGGGCGUUAGCUAUUUUGCCCACACUCAGGCGUGUGAGCUAUUUCUCUUACACACCACACAAGAUGUAUGGGCAACACCCCUUAACACCCAGACGUGUGGGUGUUAUCAGGACCCAAAAUUAUAACCAAGCAACCUGAAAAGUACGUUUGGAUUUUUCAGAGCAAUAUUUGGACAACAUGACAAUAACUAUGAUCCUGAACUAAUUCUAGGAACCUCUUCAGAGCAAUAUCUGAACAAGAUGACAAUAAUUCAGAUCCUAAACUUAUUCUAGGAAACAUUUUGUACCCAGCUCCAGUCUGUAUUGAGCGAGUCAAAGGAAACAAAAAAUGAAUAACACCGUGUAAAUGCAGGCGCACUGAAUUCAACCAUCUUUUCUAAUUAGUACACACUUAUAUUCCUAUAAUAUUAAAAUGACUGGACGGUAAGAAGUGGUGGACCUUUUAUCUUGCCAAUUGAGAAAUAUUCAGUCGAGUAACAGACAAAAAAGAUCUCCACAUUUGAUCUGAACCAAUGAGAAAAGAGGGUCGUGUAUUUAACAUAGGUUCUGAAGUACGAGAAGAAUGCUCACCAAUUUGUUUCAGAUUCGAACUGAAUGCAUAAUAUCUUAGAUCGCGCAACCUAAGGUAAUGCAAAGAAAUAAAAUCAUACUAUUUAGGCAAUCCAAAUAGGCAUUGUAUGUACAGAAAAAUCAAAGGCGAAAUAGCAAAACAUCCAUGAAACUAAGCCAGUCACAUGAUGAUCAUAUUAAUGUCCACCUACAGCGGCCAAGUUUAGAAACCCCAAACGAGUGAGCAGAUGAAGCCAAGAAAAAGAAACACACUGAAGGGGAUCGGGAGACAGGGCCACCUACAUCGACCAAGUUUAGAAACCCCAAACAUGUGAGCAGAUCAAGCCAAGAAAAAAAAACACGAAAGGAGAUCGGGAGACACGACGGAGACCUUGAGGCGGGAAAGAGAGAUGGAGCGGGGUCGGGCUGCUUCUUCCCCUUACCUCUGCCCUCCCCCAUCUUCCCCACAAACCCCACAGCUGCUGCGUUGCUAGGCAUGGAGGGAGAGAGGAGCAGCAAAAGCAAGGACGCGGCGAGGAGGCAAAAACAGGCGGCGGAC